GAUGAACGCUGGCGGCGUGCCUAACACAUGCAAGUCGAACGAAGCGCUUCCGCCUGAUUUUCUUCGGAGAUGAAGGCGGCUGCGACUGAGUGGCGGACGGGUGAGUAACGCGUGGGCAACCUGCCUUGCACUGGGGGAUAACAGCCAGAAAUGGCUGCUAAUACCGCAUAAGACCGAAGCGCCGCAUGGCGCUGCGGCCAAAGCCCCGGCGGUGCAAGAUGGGCCCGCGUCUGAUUAGGUAGUUGGCGGGGUAACGGCCCACCAAGCCGACGAUCAGUAGCCGACCUGAGAGGGUGACCGGCCACAUUGGGACUGAGACACGGCCCAGACUCCUACGGGAGGCAGCAGUGGGGAAUAUUGCACAAUGGGGGAAACCCUGAUGCAGCGACGCCGCGUGAAGGAUGAAGUAUUUCGGUAUGUAAACUUCUAUCAGCAGGGAAGAAGAUGACGGUACCUGACUAAGAAGCCCCGGCUAACUACGUG
rnacentral:rRNA from 1 species